rnacentral:rRNA from 1 species
GUAGGGGCCAAGCGUUGUCCGGAUUUAUUGGGCGUAAAGAGCUCGUAGGCGGUUCGGUAAGUCAGCUGUGAAAUCUCCGCGCUCAACGCGGAGGGGUCAGCUGAUACUGCCGUGACUUGAGUCUGGUAGGGGAGUGCGGAAUUCCCGGUGUAGCGGUGAAAUGCGCAGAUAUCGGGAGGAACACCAGUGGCGAAGGCGGCACUCUGGGCCAGUACUGACGCUGAGGAGCGAAAGCGUGGGGAGCGAACAGGAUUAGAUACCCUGGUAGUCCACGCCGUAAACGUUGGGCACUAGGUGUGGGAACCUAUCGACGGUUUCCGUGCCGUAGCUAACGCAUUAAGUGCCCCGCCUGGGGAGUACGGCCGCAAGGCUA